UACGUAGGGGGCAAGCGUUGUCCGGAUUUAUUGGGCGUAAAGAGCGUGUAGGCGGCCAGGUAGGUCUGUUGUGAAAACUCGAGGCUCAACCUCGAGACGCCGAUGGAAACCAUCUGGCUAGAGUCCGGAAGAGGAGAGUGGAAUUCCCGGUGUAGCGGUGAAAUGCGCAGAGAUCAUGAGGAAGACCAGUGGCGAAGGCGGGUCUCUGGACAGUUCCUGACACUGAGGCACGAAGGCCAGGGGAGCAAACGGG
rnacentral:rRNA from 1 species